rfam:TPA: Bos taurus chromosome 23, whole genome shotgun sequence.
UCCCUGGUUGUCUAGUGGUUAAGACUCUGCACUUCCAAGGUAGGGGGCGCAGAUUCAAUCCCUGGUCAGGGAA